rnacentral:rRNA from 1 species
GAUGAACGCUGGCGGCAUGCCUAAUACAUGCAAGUCGAACGAAUUCUUAUUUCUAGUAAAUCCCCAUCCUUUUGGAGCUUUUCUAGAACUUAAGAGUUAGUGGCGGACGGGUGAGUAACACGUUGAUACCUGCCCUAAAGUGGGGAAUAACUGGCCGAAAGGUCAGCUAAUACCGCAUGUGAUCCUUCGGGAUUAAAGACUUCGGUCGCUUUAGGAGGGGUCUGCGUCUGAUUAGCAGUUGGUAGGGUAAAGGCCUACCAAGGCGACGAUCAGUAGCUGGUUCGAGAGGAUGACCAGCCACACUGGGACUGAGAUACGGCCCAGACUCCUACGGGAGGCAGCAGUGGGGAAUAUUGGACAAUGGGCGCAAGCCUGAUCCAGCCAUGCCGCGUGAGUGAUGAAGGCCCUAGGGUUGU